rnacentral:lncRNA from 1 species
CUAGAAAUUAGACAACUAUUCGUUUAUAUUAAGAAAGAUGCCUUUUUCAUGAUUUUUAGGGAAUUCUAGCAGAUGCUUCUGUAUCCUAAUUCUUAUCCGUUUCCACUCAUUUACUCUAUGAAUACAUUCCUUCUUUUUAUUAGACAAAGAUUGAGAUACAUAUAGAAAAAUUCCCCAAGAAGGCAAUGAUUCUGUAUUGCUUUUUGAGCCUCUUUUUCCUUCAUUUUAGCAAAGAACUCCUGCUUAUUUCAUAUUUUUGGCUGGUAUUUCUGAGUUUGAGUUUGACGAUGUUUUGGUUUUCAGGAAUGGUAUUCUUGCUGCCAUUUCUACUCAAGUCUUUUAGAGGCUUAUUUUCCUAUUUGUCUAUUUUCUUGCUGCUAUCAAGGUACUUUCUUAACAAUUUAAAGUUUAAUCUUGCUGUAUCAUGACUAUGACUUUAUUGGUUGUCAAAAAUCUGUAUUUUCUUUGAAUACUGCACGAGUCAUGUUGAUUAAUGUUGUUUUAAUUGAGAGUUUUGUGUCUGAAUUCAUGUAAAGUUAAUUAUUUACACUGUUUUAGGCCAUUUUAAGCUAUGUUAGCUUUAAAGUUAAAGUGUUCCGAAAAUUACAAAAUCUGUUUAAGGUUCAUGUAUUCAUAAGAUCUGUAUGUUCGUAUGUAAUAGUAAAAAACAAGAAAAAAGUAUUUUUUUGAGUAGUAAUAGGCAGAUUUUGUUAUAACUGUCCAUGUUAGUAAGAUGUAAUAAUUUAGCUUUGUUUUAUAUUAUAUUUUCUUAUGCAAUGCUUCAGUUUAAUAUAUUAGUAGCUUUACGAUGCUGUUUCAAACAAUUAAAUAUAAUAAUUCUGAUUGUUAGUUUAAAAUCAUGAAAAGAUUGAAUUUUACAAGUAAGCUAAAUAGUAACCAUAAUACAUUUUCAAGCCUAAAACCAAUUGAGUUCAUAAAAUUGUAUUCUGAUUUUAUGUUAAAUAAAAUUGAAUUGGCCUUUACAUUAUAUAGGAUUUUCAAAAAAUAAAAAUGAGUUUUAAACUUAUCACUUUAAGAUAAAAUUAUAGAAAUGGAAGAGUUACGCAAUUAGUAGGAAAAAUCAUCAAAUUUAACCAUCUUGUUAUAAAAUAGAAGUCUAUUUAGAGUGAAUGUCUAAGAGUUUUAGCUUGAAGCUAAG